rnacentral:lncRNA from 1 species
CUUCGGCUCACGCACAGUGCGCCCACCCACUGACCUGCGCCCACUGUCUGGCACUCGCUAGUGAGAUGAACCCGGUACCUCAGAUGGAAAUGCAGAAAUCACCCGUCUUCUGCGUCGCUCAGGCUGGGAGCUGUAGACCAGAGCUGUUCCUAUUCGGCCAUCUUCUGGUGCUACAUUUUAAAAGAGAAAGAAAAACUACAUAUACAGUAAGGCAUUCUGUGCUGGGAGGAGAGCAGAGGAUCCAGGGAGCAGAUUGCAGGGAGCUUCACUGAAGCAAGAUGACCGUGAUGCUGGAGAAGAGCCCUUGAGAUGGAACAGGAGAGGUCAUUUGAACACAAAAUGAGAUGGUGGCUGCCUACAUAUUGAUCCCUUCUCAUCAGAGUA